rnacentral:rRNA from 1 species
GAUGAACGCUGGCGGCGUGCCUAAUACAUGCAAGUCGAGCGAACAGACGAGGAGCUUGCUCCUUCGACGUUAGCGGCGGACGGGUGAGUAACACGUAGGUAACCUACCUAUAAGACUGGGAUAACUUCGGGAAACCGGAGCUAAUACCGGAUAAUAUUUCGAACCGCAUGGUUCGAUAGUGAAAGAUGGCUUUGCUAUCACUUAUAGAUGGACCUGCGCCGUAUUAGCUAGUUGGUAAGGUAACGGCUUACCAAGGCAACGAUACGUAGCCGACCUGAGAGGGUGAUCGGCAACACUGGAACUGAGACACGGUCCAGACUCCUACGGGAGGCAGAAGUAGGGAAUCUUCCGCAAUGGGCGAAAGCCUGACGGAGCAACGCGGCGGGAGUGAUGAAGGUCUUCGGAUCGUAAAACUCUGUUAUUAGGGAAGAACAAACGUGUAAGUAACUGUGCACGUCUUGACGGUACCUAAUCAGAAAGCCACGGCUAACUACGU